rnacentral:lncRNA from 1 species
UCAAUCUGGGGUUUCCAAAAGCCUUUGCGAACUCCACAAACUUGAAUGCUUGAAGCUGGUGAAUGAGAGCAAGCCCUCACGGAUGGUCCUGUCUGAAUACCAAUUUCCUCCAAGUCUGAUCCAACUGAGCUUAUCAAAUACUGAGCUAAUGGAGGAUCCCAUGCCAAUACUGGAAAAGCUUCCACGCCUUCAAGUGCUGAAACUGAAGCGGAACUCGUAUUUAGGAAGAAAGUUGGCCUGCGUUGGCUCUGGUGGCUUUCCGGAACUUAAGGUUUUGCACCUGAAAUCAAUGUAUUGGCUAGAUGAGUGGACGAUGGGGGCUGGAGCAAUGCCAAAACUUGAAAGCUUAACUGUCAACCCAUGUGCUUACUUGAGAAAGCUUCCAGAAGAGCUGUGGUGCAUAAAGAGCUUGCGCAAAUUGGAUUUACAUUGGCCUCAGACAGAGUUGAGACAAAGACUACGGACUUUCGAGGAUAUGGAGUGGCGGUAUGACAUCCAGUUAUAUCCUUAUGGAAUCUGAUGGAUUGAAUUGGGUGAGUUUUAAUCAUGUCUGAUAACUCAUACUUUUAAAUGCAUUUUCUUUUUUUCCCACUUUCUCAGUAGAUUUAUGUUUAUCGUAAAACGUACAAGGAGGUCAUAAAAAUCCCAAACCAAUUGAGGUUGCUUCUGAUGUCAAAAUUAUGUCUCAACGUAGACUAAGCUUGAGUGGCAAAACAGAGUGGGAUAGCCACAAAUUGCAGCAGAGAAACAAAAAAGAUCCCUUUAUAUCUAUCUAAUAAGAACUGUAAAAGCAGAUUUUAAUUUAUGAUUCUCAUUUCCCUUCACUUAUGUGGGCAAAACUGGAGAGGGAAACAACACCAGCCGGACUUUCAAUCUCAAUUUUAAUUCGGCUUUGAUUCAUGAGACAGGGCAUUGUUUAUUUAGCAGAUUUCAAGGAUUUGCUAUAAAUAUGCCAUGGUUGCAAUAUUGUCCACAAACUUGAACAGUUGCACUCCUUUUUCUAUUUUGAAUUUGCUGGUAUGUGUGUGUGUGUUCUGUUUUAAUCAAUGUUUUCUGCUUAGACUUCACUGAAAUAUUUUCAUUCAAUCAAUUUACAACCUUCUUCCAUAUGUUUUCAUAUUUUAACAUGUUGAAUGAUAAUCUCACUAUCAACACCGUAAAAAAUACAUAAUUUUUUAUGUAUAUAAUUAGGUUAUCAUUUCUAAUAGAACAUCUUGAGCAGUUAGCUUCAAAAAAUUAAGCAAACUAUUGUCUGAUGUUUAAGAUAUUUUUAAGUAAUUUUAUCAACUAGAAAUUCAUCACCCAAUUAACAAAAAAUGACACAAUAUUGGUCAAUGACACAUAGCAUUAGGAUUUAAGUUGGAACUCAAUUGUUGGGAUCUCUAAUAUUCUUGAACAUGAUUUAAUGAUCAAAUUCAAAUCUUGAACUAAUGACCAUGAAUGAAAGAAUAUCACGAAAGGUGUUAAGAUGCACGUGGAUAUUGGUAUUAGCGAUUAUGUUUAGGCUAUUUACACAUCUAAACAAUAAUUGUCACUAUUUUCUGUCACUAAUUUUCCAAAACUAAUUUUUGCAAAAAGUCAUCAUAUUUUUGCAUUAAAUCAAUUUAAGAAAAUUUUCCUUUAAUCGAGAAAAUUGAUUUAGUCACCAUUAAUUUUGUCGGGGUAAGAUAAAGUAUGGGUAGCUGCUGCAUACAUGUUCUUUUUAAAUGGUAGGAAUUUUCUCUAAAUGUUAAAUCAAGUUUUUUGAGAAUACGGAGUAAUAAUAAUAUCACCACGAAUAUAGAUGAUACUCUAUGGCAUGGCCACCUGAUCAAAAGAAAGAUUUUAUUGUUAAAUGACUUCUUAAAUGAUUAUAAAUUGAAAAUAUUUUUUACGUUAUAACUUAACUUAUUGCGAGAUUUAUCUUACUUAAGAAAUAGAUUGUAAAAUAAUUAAUUUUUCUAAUUUAUGAUUCUUUGUAAUAAUUAUUAUAUAUUUUAUAUUAUUAAUAAUAUUAUACAUGAGUUUUUUUUUAACAAGUUGAUGGCUCACCCUUCAUCUCCAACAUUAUUUAAUUUUAAUCGACUUGUUCGUAGUGCAGAUGUGGAAUGGAGAUCUAUAAGAAGAGCCGGGGCUGCAGACACCAGAAGAAUUAAAAGAAUCUCGUUUGAAAAGCAUCGAAAAUGAAUAUAGUGGGAAAAUCAAGAUAAGCUAAUAGUUUUCUGUUUCUGCAUCUCUCUUACCGUCUCUGUUAUAUUUGCUUUUAACAACUCAAAUAUUUAGGAUUUAUUUACCAAUUGUUAUUCUACGUCACAAAUACUCUGUUUUUUUUUUCUUUUUUCUUUAAUCGCUCUGUUUUAUACUUUUGACAUAUCUUUUAGGUCUAUAGUCUACCAAAUAAUCAUAAUUAAAGCAUAUAAAAUGUAUUUCUAAUUUCAGAAGGCAUCUAGGACUUUAUUCUCUGCUUUACUUCUAAAUUAAUUAGCCAAAGGAAGUUUGGCUUUCAGCAGAGCACUUUAUCCUUAAUGUUCACUGUCUCCAUCACACUAUAAUUGAAAAAAAAAAAAGGGCUAAAGUAGUGACAGUUCACAGUUGUAAUGCAUAUUCACUUUAACAAUUGCGAGGGAGUGAGGAUUGUAAAUUUACUUUCUAUCUAUUUAUUCUUUUGGCACAUGUGAAUAAAAUAUAUAUUUCAGGAAAUUGAAUUGUAUGAUUUUCAUGAUAACUCUUAUGCUGCGUUUACUAAACUGAAAUCGGAAUGAGCUAGAAUCGGAAUGGGCAGAAAUGAGAAUGGACAGAAAUGAGAAUGGGCUGGAAUGGGAAAAGGUAAUGGGAAUCAAAAUAAGUUGUUUACUUGAACUGUAGGAAUCGAAAUCGGAAUGAGCUAAAUUGCCAUUAAUGUGUUUACUUUGUCUUGAAAUCGGAAUCGGAAUGAAUUAGAUUGUAACAAAUUACUAAAAAGUACUUAAUGGAUUAUUGUCAUAAUUAUUAUUAACUAAUAUAUUAAUUAAUUGUAAAAAAAAUUUAAUUAAUUAUAAUAACUAUAUUAAAAAUUAUUAUAAAAAUAUAUUAACUAAUAAUAUUAAUAUUAAUUACUUAAUUAAAAUAAUAUAUUAAUUAUUGUGAUUAUUUAUUCAAAAAUUAUAAUUAUUAAUAAUUUUUUAAUAAUAUAUUACUGCUGUACCGUACAUCCGCCUUGGCCGUACAGCAGGUCACCCUACAGAAUUCGAUUUUUACCUCAACAGCCAUGCAGGAAUUCAGGUUUAAAAAAAAAAAUUUAAAUUUGCUCUUUCAAUCCAGUUAAAAACAAAAAAAAACAAAAAAUUAAACAAUGUCCCCCCCCCCCCCCCNNNNNNNNNNNNNNNNNNNNNNNNNNNNNNNNNNNNNNNNNNNNNNNNNNNNNNNNNNNNNNNNNNNNNNNNNNNNNNNNNNNNNNNNNNNNNNNNNNNNNNNNNNNNNNNNNNNNNNNNNNNNNNNNNNNNNNNNNNNNNNNNNNNNNNNNNNNNNNNNNNNNNNNNNNNNNNNNNNNNNNNNNNNNNNNNNNNNNNNNNNNNNNNNNNNNNNNNNNNNNNNNNNNNNNNNNNNNNNNNNNNNNNNNNNNNNNNNNNNNNNNNNNNNNNNNNNNNNNNNNNNNNNNNNNNNNNNNNNNNNNNNNNNNNNNNNNNNNNNNNNNNNNNNNNNNNNNNNNNNNNNNNNNNNNNNNNNNNNNNNNNNNNNNNNNNNNNNNNNNNNNNNNNNNNNNNNNNNNNNNNNNNNNNNNNNNNNNUACGGUACAGCAGAAUUAUUGUGAUUAUUUAGUCAAAAAAUAUAAUUAUUAAUAUAUUAUUGUUAAUAAUAUAUUAAUAUAUUAAUUAAUAGUAAUAAUUAUAUUAAUUCAUUAAUAAUAAUAAUAAUAAUAUAUAAAUUAAUUAUAUUAAUAAUUAUUAUAAUAGUAUAUUAAUUAAUUAAUUAAUUAAUUAAAAUAACAAUAAUAAUAAUAAAUUAAUUAUUGUGAUUAUUUAUUCAAGAACUAUAAUUUUUAAUAAUUAUAGUUAAUAAAAUAUUUAUAUAUUAAUUAAGUAAUUAUAAUAUUAUAUUAAUUAAUUAUAAAAGAGGACAAAGUAGGCAUUUUUAAUUUUGAGGGAGGGCAAAAUGGUCAAUCCAGGGAAUGGGAGACUCAUUCCCACCUUCUCCCAUGAGAAUCAAUCUCCCAUUCCCAAAUAGUGGUGGGCCCCACCAUUCCAAUUCUGAUUCCUGCUCCAUAUUUGCAAAGUAAACAUCAUCAAUCAUUCCGAUUCUAGAUUCCAAUUCCUCAAUCCGGCAAGUAAACGCAAUAUUAAAUGCACACAUCCACAUCUUUCUAUUUUCAAAAUGGUAAUGGAAAACUGUGUUAUUCUCUCUUAACAUUACACUAAUUCUUUGUAAGACUUUAGUGGUAAUAUCGAAAUAAAGUUACCUUUUAUAAAAAGAGAGGGAGGACCAACUUCUUUUAUAACUAAAAUACCUAAAAUGUAUAAAUAUAUCGAGUAUGGACUUAAUAAGAAAUCAUGUGAGACAUUAAGGAUAUGUUUGGUACCUUUUUUGGCAAACUGUUUUUCGUUUUACAAACAAAAAAUACAAAAUUGAAUAGUUCUUGGUUUUCCCUAGAGAACGUUAAAUUGACGUUUCUGUUAUCUUAUUUCUCAUCGGAUUCCCUCAAAAGUAAAAUGAAUUAUCGAAAAAAACAAGACACCUAUACCUCUAGGAUUUGGACAAAUUGUCAUACAGAUCCUCAAAUUUUCAAAAAGAAAUGCCAAAACUUUUUUUUAACCAUAAUACCUUUUCAAUAUAGUAAUUAAAAAUUGAACUUUAAAAGUUUUAAUUUAUACAAAUAUAAUAUAAGUAAUAUAACCUGUGUAGUAGACUAAUAGCAUUCAAGUAUUUUUAAUAUUUAAAAUAAUAUUAAAAUUUUAAAUUAUGAUAUUUAUUUUGUUUUUAUAUUUUUAUUUAUUAUAACAAUUUUAAAUAAACCUUUGGGUUAAAAAGAUUUUACAAUAAACAAAAUAUCUUCCUAUUAAUAAUAUUAAAAUUAUUUUUUAUGAUAUUCAAAAUAAUUUAAACUUUAAUUGAUUUAUUGUAAUGUUAUGUUUCCAUUUAUUAUUAAAAUUACUUUAAUAUGAUAAAAUAUGUAUAACUGACUGUAAAAUAUAAAAACAGUAUCUUGCUUGUCAACAAAUUUUUUUUUUUUUUACUCGAAAGCAAAAAUAAAAUUAUGCCAAUAUCAAUUCUUUGACAGAACAACCUUAGCUUUCUAAUGUUUAAUACUACUCUUUCCAUGCCCAAAAAGCGCUGAUGACAAUCAGGAGAAUCACUUAAUUAACGUAAUGAAAUAGCAACGUAGUUUAGAUCUACAAUGCCACUUGCCAUAUGAAAAUGUAUAUAAUCAUAAUUAAUUAGCGAAAAGGACGUUGUAAUGAUCUGAGUGAGUUGUGCAUCAAUGUGAUUGUGAUCAGGUGACGCUCUUCUUUAAUAGUCAAUUCAGCUACGUUCUCUUAUCCUUUAUUUUUUUUUUCACCCACAAUUACUUCACUGAGAUUGGAUCAAUAAUGCCUCAGCGAAUUCAUUAACAGGAAGACUGUAGGAACUGUAAGGUAAAGAAAUUUAUACUAAUACGCUACAACGGAGAAACAAAUAAAGAAAUUCUCAAAAAAGAACUAACACUAUCUUACAUUCAACUGUUGAUGCAACCAUUGGAGUUACAUCAAUAAUUGGAGUAGUCCAGAUAGGAUUGCUAAUGCUCAAAACAAGUGGCUCUUAGAAAGAAUAGACAAUGACCAGUAAUGAACAUAACUCAAUGGGUCCACUUCAAAAAGCAACUGUUCAAUUUCCAUCAACUUGUUUAAUAGGGUAGAUGUGGGAUGGAGAUUUCUAAAGAUUUUAAAUAAACCUUUAGGUUAAAAAGAUUUUAAAAUUAACAAAAUGUCUUUCUAUUAAUAAUAUUAAAAUUAUUUUUUUAUAAUAUUCAAAAUAAUUUAAACUUUACUUUAUUUAUUGCAAUAUUAUGUGUCUAUUUAUUAUUAAAAUUACUUUAAUAUGAUCAAAUAUAUAUGUAUAAUAAAUUGUAAAAUACAAAAAUAUUUUCUUUGUCAACAAAUAUUUUUUUCCUGUAAAAUACAAAAAUAUUUUCUUGCUUGUCAACAAAUAUUUUUUUCCUCCAAAGCCAAAAUAAAAUUAUGUCAAUAUCAAUUCUUUAACAUAACAACCUUAGCUUUCUGAAGUCUAAUACUACUCUUUCCAUGCCCAAAAAUUCAAAAUUUUUUAAUUAAUCUUGUUACUGGGCUUGCGGCAGUUAUGCUAUUGAAGGCAAUUUGAUAUUAAAAUAUUUUUUAAUGAAAAAUUCUUUAAAUUAAAAAAGAAACAAUCGAUUUAACCACCAUCAAUCAUGUAAAAAAGAAACAAUUGAUUUAGUAAAGGUUGGAUAUCUAUUGGAUACCUCUUCUUUUCAAAAGGCAAGCGUCUUGGACUUUUCGCUAAAUGAACGCGUAUCAAUUUUUUGAGUUAAAAAUGAGCAAUAAUGCCGUAUUUGUGGAAUUUAGCCACUUCGCCAGUUCCUUGGCAUCUUCCUUUCAAAUUCUCCCAUGGCGUUUAAUUUUACACCAGUAACCACUUUGAGAUAGAACCAAUCCUUUUAAUAUUUCUUGGAGCAAAAAACAAUACCUCUGGGUGCUACAGAGAGAAGGAGAUAUGCUGGACGUCCACCUCCGACUGUUUUGUGAGAGGUUGAAAAGGGUGUUAGCAGGUGAAGAAGGCACGUUGCCGCUGCCAGAUUCAACAAAUUUAACUCCACUUUUUCAAAACCUUCUUACGGAGUCCGAAAUUAUUGCUACUACUCUUCUGGGAAACUAUGAAGCUGACAUGGCUCGGCAUUUGUUUCAACUCAUUAGAGAAGAAUUCGAGGACUCCAAAAUAUCUUUGGCUUUAUCGCAACUGUUGGACUUAGAAGAAAGCGAUGAAGACGUUAAAAGACCAGAUAUUUUGGAAAUUCUGGAGGACAUCAAUCACUUUGUCCAUGAAUCUGAGGAAGCCAUUGACACAUUCUUCACCAACAUCAUGCAGCAGCCAAACAGUGAAAACGAAAGUGAAAGCAGUACUAAUAUGGCUCUUCUUGUUGGACUCCACACUAAAAUCAUUGAUAUUAGAAGUCGGAUGCAACAACUUCCACCCGGCGACAAUGGUUUUGAUAUCAGUGAAAAAAGUAACGAAAUCAUUCGCCUAUUGAAUGAGGGACAACCUCGGCUCGAUAUCAAUGAAUUUGAAAGGGGCAGAGAGAAGUUGUUUGAUCUAUUGAUUGAGGGACCAUCUGGGCUUGCAGUGGUUGCAAUUCUCGACAGCAGUGGCUUCGAUAGGACUGCUUUUGCUGCAGAUACUUACAACAAUAAUCAUGUCAAGUUCUAUUUUGACUGUCUUGCUUGGGUCAGGGUUUCUGCAUUCUACGAUUUGGGCAAGCUAUUGGAUGACAUAAUCAAGUCUGUGAUGCCUCCAUCUCGGGUUAGUGUAAUUAUCGGUGAAGAUUAUCAAUUGAAGAAAUCUAUUCUUCGAGAUUUCCUAACAAACAAGAAGUACUUCAUUGUGCUUGAUGAUGUCUGCUACAACAUUGACAUAUGGGAUAAUCUUGAAGAAGUUCUUCCUGAUAAUCAGAAUGGAAGCAGAGUAUUGAUAACAGUCACUGAUCCAGAGCUCCUUGCGUCGCUUGAAAUGGAAAAUGGAGAGGAGAUUCGGCUUGAUUCGGUGCUCUUUGGAGGACCAUUGAUCAGAUUAAAGCAUGAAGCCUGGCAAUUUUUCAUCCUACACUAUGGAAGUAUGCCAUUAGAAAAUUAUGUUCAAGGCGAAAUGAUUCCGACAAUUUUGAGUCGAAUUUUUUCUGUGAUGGAGUUACCUUUUCACUUGAAAGUCUGCUGCAUCUAUUUGUGUGUCUUCCCUCCAGGCAUUGAGAUAUCCACGAGGCAAUUAUAUCAUUUGUGGGUAGCUGAAGGUUUCAUACCAUACAACAGUGAAGAAACUGCCGAACAUUACUUGAAAGAACUAAUCCAUCGCGGCUUCAUUCAAGUGAGUAAGAGAAGAGCCGGAGGCACAAUUAAAGCGUGUUAUGUUCCAAUUCUUGUAUAUACUCCAUUGUUAUUGUUGGCAGAGAAGACGGGAUUUGUCUGGAUGCCUGACAUGGAAGAGGAUUCACUGGCAAAUGCUAAACGGUGCAUCAUUGUGGAACGUCUGAUUGAGUUCUUUCCUUUAGAAUAUUCUGACAUGCGUCUCCAAUCUUUUCUGAAUCACAGUUCAGCAAGCGAUCGUCUCGCUCUGAUAGAUUGCGAGAAUUUUUGUAAAAAGUUCAAACACCUUCGGGUAUUGAACAUGGGUUCUGCAGUCCUGGACCAAUAUCCACCCGGAUUAGAAAAUUUAUAUCUUUUGAAGUAUUUGAAAUUGAAUAUCCCUUCGCGCAAAUGCCUUCCUUCACUGCUAUGCACCCUUUUAAACCUUGAAACACUAGAAAUGCCAUCUAGCUACAUAGAUCAGUCGCCAGAGGAUAUUUGGAUGAUGCAAAAACUCAGGCAUCUAAACUUUGGUUCUAUCACUCUGCCCGCACCUCCAAAAAAUUAUUCUAGCUCUCUGAAAAAUCUCAUUUUCAUAUCAGCUUUAAACCCUAGUAGUUGUACUCCUGAUAUAUUGGGCAGACUACCUAGUGUUCAGACUCUUCGGAUAUCUGGAGAUUUGAGUUACUAUCAAUCUGGGGUUUCCAAAAGCCUUUGCGAACUCCACAAACUUGAAUGCUUGAAGCUGGUGAAUGAGAGCAAGCCCUCACGGAUGGUCCUGUCUGAAUACCAAUUUCCCCCAAGUCUGAUCCAACUGAGCUUAUCAAAUACUGAGCUAAUGGAGGAUCCCAUGCCAAUUCUGGAAAAUCUUCCACGCCUUCGAAUGCUGAAACUGAAGCAGAACUCGUAUUUAGGAAGAAAGCUUGCUUGUGUUGGCUUGAGUAGCUUUCCCGAACUUAAGGUUUUGCACCUGAAAUCAAUGUAUUGGCUAGAUGAGUGGACGAUGGGGGCUGGAGCAAUGCCGAAACUUGAAAGCUUAAUUGUCAACCCAUGUGCUUACUUGAGAAAGCUUCCAGAAGAGCUGUGGUGCAUAAAGAGCUUGCGCAAAUUGAAUUUACAUUGGCCUCAGACAGAGUUGAGACAAACACUACGGACUUUCAAGGAUAUGGAGUGGCGGUAU